UACGUAGGCAGCAAGCGUUGUUCGGAAUUACUGGGCGUAAAGAGUGUGUAGGUGGUGUCGUAAGUUUUGGUGUGAAAUCUCCCGCUUAACUGGGAGGGUGCGCCGAAGACUGCGAUGCUGGAGUAUGGGGAGAGGAAAAGCGGAAUUCCUGGUGUAGCGGUGAAAAUGCGUAGAUAUCAGGAGGGAAACACCUGCGGUGUAGACGGCUUUUCUGGACCAUUUACUGACACUGAGACACGAAAAGCGUGGGGUAGCAAAACAGG
rnacentral:rRNA from 1 species